rnacentral:rRNA from 1 species
GAUGAACGCUGGCGGCGUGCCUAAUACAUGCAAGUCGAGCGAAUGGAUUAAGAGCUUGCUCUUAUGAAGUUAGCGGCGGACGGGUGAGUAACACGUGGGUAACCUGCCCAUAAGACUGGGAUAACUCCGGGAAACCGGGGCUAAUACCGGAUAACAUUUUGAACCGCAUGGUUCGAAAUUGAAAGGCGGCUUCGGCUGUCACUUAUGGAUGGACCCGCGUCGCAUUAGCUAGUUGGUGAGGUAACGGCUCACCAAGGCAACGAUGCGUAGCCGACCUGAGAGGGUGAUCGGCAACACUGGGACUGAGACACGGCCCAGACUCCUACGGGAGGCAGCAGUAGGGAAUCUUCCGCAAUGGACGAAAGACUGACGGAGCAACGCCGCGUGAGUGAUGAAGGCUUUCGGGUCGUAAAACUCUGUUGUUAGGGAAGAACAAGUGCUAGUUGAAUAAGCUGGCACCUUGACGGUACCUAACCAGAAAGCCACGGCUAACUACGUGCCAGCCGCCGCCGUAA